rnacentral:rRNA from 1 species
CGAAGGGGGCUAGCGUUGCUCGGAUUUACUGGGCGUAAAGGGCGCGUAGGCGGACGAUCAAGUUGGGGGUGAAAUCCCGGGGCUUAACCUCGGAACUGCCUCCAAAACUGAUAGUCUAGAGUUUGGGAGAGGUGUGUGGAACUCCGAGUGUAGAGGUGAAAUUCGUAGAUAUUCGGAAGAACACCAGUGGCGAAGGCGACACACUGGCCCAAUACUGACGCUGAGGCGCGAAAGCGUGGGGAGCAAACAGGAUUAGAUACCCUGGUAGUCCACGCCGUAAACGAUGAGUGCUAGUUGUCGGCAUGCAUGCAUGUCGGUGACGCAGCUAACGCAUUAAGCACUCCGCCUGGGGAGUACGGUCGCAAGAUUA